AGGAGCAGCACUGAGCAUGAAGCAGAUCAAGGGCAGCGGCUCUGAGCCACUCUGAGGCAAGGAAGGUCAUAAAUGUUGUGGCGGUGUCGGAAGCCAACUUUUACACACCUGCUGUGCCAAAGGGAUUCUGCAGAACCGGUCACCACCCUUCCCAAGCCACCUGUGUUCCGUGGCCGGCUGGGUGGAGAAGCACUUGCCUGACAGGCUUGCGAGGCUGGACCAGAUCUCCCUCACCUGGCAAGAAUGUGUGGCACAGAAGUCUGGCACAAGAUGGACCUGUGGCAAAGGACACUGUCAUGCUCCACUGGCUUCUAUAGUGUGCCAACCUCUGUAAGGGCUUCCGGGUGCAGUGAAGUGGAGCAGCGGGUUAGAGACCACUACAUCAGCCUCCCCAUCCCGGCUACACUUGGAGGCCUGCUGAGCUCCCGACAGGUGGGCGGGCCUACACUAUCCCCGGAGUCCAGACGCGCCUAACCAUCGGUUUGCAGAGGAGGAGCUGGGCGGAUCUGGAGUGCCUGCAGAAGCCCCUUCCUUUGUCUGGAGGACUGAAUAUCUCUGCAAGCAGGGAGGGAUCGCAGGUUCCUGAGGCACCUCAGCCUGUGGUAAGUGCUCAGCACACUCUGCCCAAAUCUCAGACUGUUCCGGACCCCCCAGGCUUCUGGGUGCAGUGAAGUGGAGCAGCGGGUUAGAGACCACUACAUCAGCCUCCCCAUCCCGGCUACACUUGGAGGCCUGCUGAGCUCCUGAUGGGUGGGCGGGCCUACACUAUCCCCCCAGCCCAGCCGCGCCUAGCCAUCGGUGUGCAGAGGAGGAGCUGGGCGGAUCUGGAGUGCCUGCAGAAGCCCCUUCCUUUGUCUGGAGGACUGAAUAUCUCUGCAAGCAGGGAGGGAACACAGGCUCCUGAGGCACUGCGGCCUAUGGUGAGUACCCUAACCCGGCUGCGAUUGAAGAGCUGUGGAGCUUCCAAGGGGCAGGUGGGCGCACAGUGUCCCUGAGGCCCAGCUUGUCUGGAACUGCGGAGUUCUGAACAAGCAGAGGAGGGCCAUUGGUUCUGCAGGCCCAAUGGCUUGGGGUAGCGUGGUGCCAGAGUCUCAGUAGCUGCAAACAUAGAAGGGGAUUUUCAACAGAUCCUGAGGAAGUUUUCAAAUAACACUUGAAACACAGAAAUAUAGGAAAAUGACAAAACGAAAGACCAAAUUACAACCUCAAACCUCCAGCCCAUCUCAGGAAACCCUAGGAGGAAUGUAUUUAGAAGAAAAUAUAUCCCAUCCACCUCAUAUAUCAGACACAAUAGCUACUCAAGUUGACAAGCAACUCCAGGAAGCUUUAAAGAAAUUCAAACUCGAAAUAAUUUCCCAGAUAAAAGAAGAAAUGAUAAAAGAAAUGAAAGAGAUUCUAAAUAUAUCUAAAGAAAA